rnacentral:rRNA from 1 species
UGCAACUCGACUGCACGAAGCUGGAANCGCUAGUAAUCGCGGAUCAGCACGCCGCGGUGAAUACGUUCCCGGGCCUUGUACACACCGCCCGUCACACCAUGGGAGUUUGUAACGCCCAAAGUCGGUGGCCUAACCUUUAUGGAGGGAGCCGCCUAAGGCGGGACAGAUGACUGGGGUGAAGUCGUAACAAGGUACC